CCUACGGGAGGCAGCAGUGGGGAAUCUUGCGCAAUGGGCGAAAGCCUGACGCAGCAACGCCGCGUGCGGGAAGAAGGCCUUCGGGUUGUAAACCGCUUUCAGCAGGAACGAAAAUGACGGUACCUGCAGAAGAAGGAGCGGCCAACUACGUGCCAGCAGCCGCGGUGACACGUAGGCUCCAAGCGUUGUCCGGAUUUAUUGGGCGUAAAGAGCUCGUAGGCGGCUCAGUAAGUCGGGUGUGAAAACUCUGGGCUCAACCCAGAGCCUGCAUUCAAAACUGCUGUGACUAGAGUUUGGUAGGGGAGCGGGGAAUUCCUAGUGUAGCGGUGAAAUGCGCAGAUAUUAGGAGGAACACCGGUGGCGAAAGCGCCGCUCUGGGCCAAUACUGACGCUGAGGAGCGAAAGCGUGGGUAGCAAACAGGAUUAGAUACCCUGGUAGUCCACGCCGUAAACGAUGGGCACUAGGUGUGGGUUUCAACUAACGAAAUCCGUGCCGUCGCUAACGCAUUAAGUGCCCCGCCUGGGGAGUACGGUCGCAAGACUAAAACUCAAAGGAAUUGAACGG
rnacentral:rRNA from 1 species